GCUCGGUGGUGUAGUUGGCUAGAGCACGCGAAACAAGUGUGACUAGAAAUCAUUCUACCGUAGCUGCGGGUUCGAAUCCCGCCAUCGGCA